CUACCGGUGGUGGGCUUUUAGCAGCUCCCUGCGGCCAAUCCUUAGCGGCCGACGGCCCUUCCCGCAGGAUAUUCCGAGCUGCGAGGAGCCCCUCAGCUGGGAAGGCGCAUGAGGAGCCGCCCCCUCCCGGGACACCUCCCACCAGGCUCCUCUCGGCCUGGGAGCCGCUGCCUGUUCCUCCGGGGGGCGGAGGGCGGCCGGAGCAAGGCAGUCCUGUAGCGCCGGAGUGUGCCUGAGUGACGCCGUGAUCCCAGCCCUGGUUCCCGCUGGUCUGCGCCGCGGUGGGUCUGGCAGGAAGGGCUUGGUCGGAAGGACAAGCUUUGUCCGGGAGCCGGUGGGAUAAAGCCCGCAGCUGAGCCUCUGCGGAGCGGAGCGGUGGCGAAGCCGCACACCGCCCGGGCCUGCCGCCGGCUCGCCUGUCAGGGUCUGCUCCUGAGAGGCUUGAGGCGCUUCUAGGAAGGCUUCGGAGAAUUUUCCAAGGCUCCCUUCAAGGUCCUGAAGUGCCCGUGUGAGUGUGUGUGCCGCAGUACUGCAGCGCUCCCUUCCCGGGGAGAUAGGAUCGAUCCCAGCGAUUUAAACGCCCUCCCUUGAAGGCCCCUCGGAGGCGCUGCCUUGGUUGUCAGUCAUGAUACCCAGCAGGCCCAACGGGUUUGGCGUCCGAGUGAACGCUGGGCUUUCCAGGAGAAGUGAUUCUACACCAUGCAGUAACUAUUUACGGGAGCAGAAAAGAGUAAGCAGGAACAGUAACUACCAUUUUCUAGACUGGCCCCAGUUCUAACCGUUUUCUUCAUGCAAACAGGCUCCAAAGACUUACAGGAAGGGUAUUAAUAAAG